UACGUAGGUGGCAAGCGUUGUCCGGAAUUAUUGGGCGUAAAGCGCGCGCAGGCGGCCUUUUAAGUCUGAUGUGAAAGCCCACGGCUCAACCGUGGAAGGUCAUUGGAAACUGAAAGGCUUGAGUACAGAAGAGGAAAGCGGAAUUCCACGUGUAGCGGUGAAAUGCGCAGAUAUCAGGAGGAACACCGAUGGCGAAGGCAGGUCUCUGG
rnacentral:rRNA from 1 species